rnacentral:rRNA from 1 species
CGCAAUGGGCGAAAGCCUGAUGGAGCGACGCCGCGUGAUUGAUGAAGUCCUUAGGGAUGUAAAAAUCUUUUAUGAGCCAGAAAGUUAUUGAUCAGCUCAUGAAUAAGGGGUUGCUAAACUCGUGCCAGCAGCAGCGGUAAUACGAGUGCCCCAAGCGUUAUCCGGAAUUAUUGGGCGUAAAGGGUGUGUAGGCGGUUUUGUUAGUCUAUUGUUAAAGCCCCGGGCUUAACCUGGGAAAUGCAAUGGAAACGGCAAAACUAGAGGAUGCGAGAGGUGAACAGAACUCAUAGUGUAGGGGUGAAAUCCGUUGAUAUUAUGGGGAAUACCAAAUGCGUAGGCAGGGUACUGGGCUAUUGCUGACUCUAAGGCCCGAAAGCGU